CCCAUUCGCUUCUCAUCCCGUCAGACCUGCGCCAUGGAGUUCGAGGACGGGCGCGGGGCAACGGUGGUGAGAGGCGAGCC
rnacentral:precursor_RNA from 1 species